UUCUUACGUUAAGUUGAAAAAUUUUGCACUUUAUACUUACAUAUAAGUAGAUAAUUCUACAAGGGUAUAUAUGUAAAAUCUUUUUAUGCAAGCAUUCUUCUAUUUCUAUCGGUUAAAAUUUGCUCUUUAAAUUAUUAUUAACAUAAUUCAGGUAGAGUGCUUCCAAAGUAUACACUUUUAACUUUUGGGUCCUUGGAUUCAUAUAUCGUCUUCAAAUAAUAACCCUAAGCAUCCAAGAGUUAAAAAAAGUUGAAAUUAAUAAAGAAAGUUAAGUCCGACCUAAAUAUAGGCCCAAGGCCUGAUACUCAAUGGCCUUAAACCCAUUAGCAUGCAGUAUAUUUUGGCCAACGGAUGAAUGACAACUUAAUUUAAAAAUAUUAAAUAUAAAAAAAUAUUACUUUUAAAUUUUUAUUUUUUGUUGCCAAGCAAAUAGUUUCAAUGAAAGAAUUGCAAACAAUUUACCAUCCCCUCCUAUGUUAUUUUAUAUUUUUAGUGUCACGCCCCGAGACCCGCCUCUUUAGUCGGAUUCGGGCGCACCGACAGACCGCCGAACGGACAGAGUUUUUUCUGUACAUCCAAGGUGUCGCAACAGUACAAAUCACGAGGCUAUGCUGACCCGGGGUACUUCUACCUCUAGUCUCCGUGGUAGGACGCUAUCUAUCGAGCUACCCAUUUUCCUCGCGUCGCUGCGCCGCUCACAUGUGGACCUGAAAAACGUGGGAUGAGAACUAUAUAAAUAGUUCCUAGUGAGUACGGCCACCCAAGAGAAGAGCUCAACCCACCAGAAUGUUGAGACGUCAAAUCCGGGUCUCCCCACUCUAAGUCGGAACAAGGCUUCGAUCGCGACUUUGUUCUAUAUCUAUGAUCAUGUGGUUCGAAAUUCGAAAG